UCUUUGUUGGGAGUUGUACAUGUGAAGGAACCUAGGUACGGACUACUAGCCAAUCAGAAGCAGAGUAGGACAGGUUCUGACGAGCAAGGUAGUGUGAUCCAAAACAAAGCUGCUUCAGCCGGUAACCAUGGCUUCGGAUCAUGAACGUACAUGAUCCCGAAACACACACAGAACAACCCGAACCAGCUUCACAUCCAAGACUGGAGCAAGAUGUUUCAGAGUGGUUUCUUAGAAAAGGGGGCCGCUCCGUUUUCCAUGCUUUUCUGACAGCAACUGCAGGGAGGCAUUUAUCGGCGCUGCCAAUCAAUACGUGAUGAAGAUGUGAUGGUCCAGGCCUGGAAAGAAGGGGCUUAGGACUCCAGGUACGGGUCAUUCAUCUCUGGGAAGAUGCUGCCAUAUUGGCCCCUCUCUCUGGGCCAUUAGAGUUUGAGGGAUCAAUGUGAGCAGCUGGGGAGCAGUCCAUCCAUCAUGUCGCCCCACUCAGCGUUUGGUCAAGCUCACAUUCGUACCACAACUUGGAAGAAGUUGGACAUUUCAGCCUUUU